UGGAGUUCACAGCAGCACAGGUUCACCAUAAACCAUGUUUCUGUUUGCUCUGUUUCUGCUCUUUGCAGCUGGACGUGUGAAGUGUGAACAGUUGACUCAGCCAGAAUCUGUGACUGUGCAGCCAGGUCAACGUCUCUCCAUCACCUGUCAGGUCUCUUAUUCUGUUAGUAGCUACUGGACAGCUUGGAUCAGACAACCUGCAGGAAAAGGACUGGAAUGGAUUGGAAUGAUAGCUGGAUCUACAACACACUACAAAGAUUCACUCAAAAGCAGGUUCACCAUCUCCAGAGACAACAGCAAAGAGCAGCUGUAUCUGCAGAUGAACAGCCUGAAGACUGAAGAUUCUGCUGUUUAUUAUUGUGCUCGAGGGUCACGGUGA